UGCAGGUGCAGGAGGGCCAGAUCACCCACAUCCAGUACGAGCAAGGCGGCCCCUUCGUGCAGGAGCCCCAGAUCCAGUACGUCCCAGUGUCCCCCGGGCAGCAGCUUGUCACACAAGCCCAGCUGGAGGCCGCGGCACACUCGGCCGUGACGGUUAUCGGCGGGGCCGGGAGCAGCAAAGAGACCCCUGCGGAGCAGGAGCUGCUGCCCGUCGCCUUGGACCGAUCGGCUGCCAGUUUGGGCAAAGGGAAAAGCCCUGGUUGCCUCUUCUGCACAGCAGUGGCGGACGUGGCCGUGGCCCACGCUCCCUUCGGCACGGAGUCUGGGCCGGAGCAGCUGCAGCCGGGCAUCCACUACGACAUCAUCACCCUCGCAGAAUGACCGGCUUUGGCCCCCCCGGCCUCUUUGGGGACCCUUGGGGGCAAAGGGGAUUGUGCCUCCCGCUCCGGCCGUUGCUCCAACCUGCCCGCCCCGCAAGUCACCUGGCAGGCCAGGUGGAGGGGGGGCUCUUCCCAGGGACCGCCUGGAAGUGGGACGUCCAGCCCAAGGCUGGAGCCAGCAGCCUCACCCGGGGAUGCCUGGUGGAUGCUCUGCUGAAUAAAAAGGGCCCCCGCCAGGCCUGGACAUGGUUGCGGGUCUGUGUGAUGGAUGGCUUGGGAGAGCGGGGCCCUUCACACACACACACACACACACACACACACACACACACCCAGCCACUCCACCCCCUUC